UGUACCAAAGAAGGCAAAGAUAACUGAACUAAAUGACCAAUGCCCCGUAGCACUCACUUCUGUCAUCAUAAAGUGCUUUGAGAGACCAGUCAAGGAUCAUAUCACCUCCACCUUACCUGCCACCCUAGACCCACUUCAGGUUGCAUACCACCCCAAUAGGUCCACAGAUGAUGCAAUCGCCAUCACACUGCACACUGCCCUAUCCCAUCUGGACAAGAGGAAUACCUAUGUAAGAAUGCUGUUCAUUGACUACAGAUCAGCAUUCAACACCAUAGUACCCUCCAAGCUCAUCAUUAAGCUUAAAGCCCUGGGUCUCAACCCCGCCCUGUGCAAUUGGGUCCUGGACUUUCUGACGGGCCACCCCCAGGUGGUGAAGGUAGGAAACAGCCUCUCCACUUCACUGAUCCUCAACACUGGUGCCCCACAAGAGUGUGAGGUCAGUACAGGUGCAUCAAAGCUGGGACUGAGAGACUGAAAAACAGCUUCUGUCUCAAGGCCAUCAGACUGUUAAACAGCCAUCACUAACAUAGAGAGGCUACUGCCAACAUACAGACCCAUAUCACUGGCCACUUUAAUAAAUGGAUUUAGUAAAGGUAUCACUAUUCACUUUAAACAAUGCCACUUUAAUAAUGUUACAUAUCCUACAUUACUCAUCUUGUAUGCAUAUACUGCGUUUCAUACCAUCUAUUGCAUCUUGCCUAUGCCGCACGGUCGUUGCUCAUAUUACUGCACUGUCGGAACUAGAAGCACACACAUUUCACUACACUCGCAUUAACAUCUGCCAACCAUGUGUAUGUGACAAAUAACAUUUGAUUUGAUUUAUUUGUUAGGGACAGAUGGCCUACAUAUCAACAGCUUUGCCCAAUGGGUCCAGCCGCAGGUUCAGCCUGGAAAGCCUCUCCUGUACAAUUUCUAUAAGGCACAGCCUACACACACACCGCCAAGUUACCCGAUGGAGCCUAUACACAUUGAUCCUCCAUACACAUCCAGGUGGUUCAUUGGGCUGGUGCCUAGUGGGAACAAAAUUUCCUUUUCAGAGGGAAGCGAGAUAUACACUUUUCCAGAUGUUGGUCUAAGAUUUAUCUUCACUACAUUAUCGGAUAAAAUAUAGGCUAUUAUAUUGUAUAGGUUUACCUGCUGACAGCGUAGCCUACUGGCAAUACCAUUUUCCCAUUGGAAUAAAGUUUAGAUCAUUCCGGAUAUCGAUGCUGGCUUGCAGUAACCUACUAUUCGAACAAGUCACAACUUACCAUAGAUGUUUAGGUCUAGUUAGGACUAAUUGUUUGUGAAUAACACCCACUGUCUCCCGAUCCAUACAGGCAUGUAUCCUGGUCCAUCUACUAUCCAGCUUGUUCUCACCUCAGUGUCAGCAGUCUUGAACCGGGUGCGAGGAUGCUGUGGCCAUUAUUGGAGACGUUACACCUCAGAAGAGGAUACGCUAUCUCGUCCUGUAAGAGAAACCCAACCAGCACCUCUCUCCAGCUCUGUGAGAUCCUGGGUUUGGGAUGUUCAUCAUGACCUAUGGUUGAACUGACGAAACUGAGCUCUGGGUUUUUUAGAUAAGACAGUGAGUGCAUUCCUAGGUUUUCUGUUAAUUAGAACUGUCAGCUAAGUGGUGAUCGAUAAUGUUGAGGGGUCAAAAGUUACCUGGGAGUGUGUUAGUAAGUUAGAAUGAACUUUUCACCUCACUUUGUCCCUGUCGAGAGGAGGGGUUUCUGUUAAGCAAUGAAAUGACGUCAUGUUUUGUAUAUAAACUGUUGCUCGUGAUGAAGUGGCAGCACGCUCCGAGAAUAAAUUAUGUUACCUAUUA